GUCGUCCCACUUUCACCUGCGUCCGCGCGCGACGCGGAUCGAGCAUGUAUAUGUGAAUGCGUGUGUGAGUUGCCGCGGUGCUCGGCGCAUUGGUGCGCUCAGCGUUGUGCCAUAUACGGAUCGCUCAACCCCUGCGAGCGCGGCUGCAGCUGUUCACACAGACGCCUAAUGAUCUUUGUCCUUCCUUUCGAGGCGGCCGCUCGUAUAAAAUUUCGGCACCGCACCGCGGGCGCGCUUUCCUCGUCUCCCGACUUCUUGCACGUGCAGCGGUGUGAGACGGGCUGCAGCGAUCGAGAGCGUUCCAGGAGCGCAGUAUACAUCUGGAGCGAAGAGGGAGACGCAGACAUGUCGUCUUCUCGGUGGCUGCCGUCCGGUGCUGCGAUGGUCGUCGUCGUGCUGCUGUCCGUCGACCCGCGGGCGAAAAGACUCGCUCUCGGUGCGAGUGUGGCGCCAAGGCGUACUGCGUUGGAUGUCAUCUGCGACCUCCCCCCAGAUGUGAACGAUCAGCUGAGGAACACUACUAAGAAAUGCGAAGAAAUGUUUCCGCAAUCGGUUGCCAGCCUGAGCGACCACAGGAAUAACGAAUGCCUGAAGCAAGUGGCCGGGCCCGAGGCCAAUGAACAAAGACCCGGGACGUCUUCUGUGCUCAGCGGGGACUCUUCCAACCAUACAUCGACUGCGUGAUGAAAACACAGAGGGAGAUGCUGAAGGCCUACGCCAAACUUUCAGCGACGGAACUGCGGGCUGUUCGCGACGGACUUGUAUGCAUGCUGACAACAUGGAAUGAGCUGCUCCGUACUUAAUACCAAGCGGAUCUGGAUUAAAAAAAAAAAAAAAAAAAAACUUGCGUUGCAAGAGUGCAGUUUCAGUGGAUCUAUCGAGUGCUAGGAUUUGAAGCAACCCCUUUGAUUUUGUUGGGUUGCAGACUUUGGCUUUGGUAUUGGAAUUUGAUGCCUGUCAGUACCAGCACAACCAAACAGCGAAGCUGUUAACUGCAGUGACUGCUGCCAACAACCUGGCAGCUGUCGCAAUCGCCGCCCUCUUCCCACCUUUUUCGGGCUGGAGAAAAAAGGCUAGACGUGAUGCACGUGCUGGCGCUGCAGCGUACAUCCCAUAUGCGGUCAGAACAAAACGCGAACACUUCGACAGUGUCGCUAUUCCUGUGCGUAAUGCGACAACGACGAGUAAUCAUGUAGCGACACAGGCUUCAGACGCGGUGCAUCAAGUAAAAACUGAAAAGUCAGUCUAGCCAGUCUCACACUUCACGCGUAGAUGAACACGGAGGCGGGAAUUAACGUAGACCGAAGCCGCAGGUUUCGCGUACUGCUGAUGCAAAAACAUUCUCGCGCUCCUUAGUAACAUGUCGUGAAUUCGGGCCCCUCGUCAGGCAAAAUUUUGCUCCAUUCGAAGGCAACUCCAUGGCUCCGGUCACAGUUUGUCAAGCACCUUUUAAUUACAGCGCAGACUGAGCGGCGCCCCCUCCCCCC